UACGGGGGGGGCAAGCGUUGUUCGGAAUUACUGGGCGUAAAGGGCGCGUAGGCGGCUCGCUAAGUCAUACGUGAAAUCCCUCGGCUUAACCGGGGAACUGCGUCUGAUACUGGAUGGCUUGAGUUCGGGAGAGGGAUGCGGAAUUCCAGGUGUAGCGGUGAAAUGCGUAGAUAUCUGGAGGAACACCGGUGGCGAAGGCGGCAUCCUGGACCGAUACUGACGCUGAGGAGCGAAAGCCAGGGGAGCAAACGGG
rnacentral:rRNA from 1 species